rnacentral:rRNA from 1 species
UACGUAGGUGGCAAGCGUUGUCCGGAAUUACUGGGUGUAAAGCGCGUGUAGGCGGCUAGACCAAGUCGGCGGUGAAAGCGCCCGGCUCAACUGGGCGAGGUCCGUGGAAACUGGAUCAGCUGGAGGACGGGUAGAGGCGAGUGGAAUUCCCGGUGUAGUGGUGAAAUGCGUAGAGAUCGGGGAGGAACGACCUGUGGCGAAGGGCGGCUCGCUGGGCCGGUCCUGACGCGUGAGACGGCGAAAGGCGUGGGGAGCGAACGGG